rnacentral:lncRNA from 1 species
GGGCAGAUGCUUUUGCUUGUCUGCAGACUUUUGUAAAUACUGAAAGAAGAUGCAUAUACUCAAGUGGAAGGGCCACUGUGAUGAAAGAGCUAGAAGUUGUUGAUGCAAGUGUAAAAAAUUAUACCCCAUUGUACAAAAUGAGGUCAACCCAAUUGAAGCUCAGAUGUUGCAGAACCUGAUAUCAGAUUUAGUAAAGACAGAAGGGAAACUUUCACAAGGACUAGAUCUACUUUCAAAUGUAGUUGAUAAUUUCUUCAAAAUUGUUCUAACAGGACGGGAUGCUUUGCUUGGUAACCUUAGAAUUGGUGGUAAUGUGUCUAACUCGGUAAAAACUUGCAAAGCAGAAGGCCAGGCUCUGAGGUGAACAGUAAUUGGCUCUCUCUCUUGUAUACUCAAGUGUGCAGCUAUGGAUGUAUUGUUGG